UACGUAGGGUGCGAGCGUUACUCGGAAUUACUGGGCGUAAAGCGUGCGCAGGCGGUCUGUUAGGACCGAUGUGAAAUCCCCGGGCUUAACCUGGGAACUGCAUUGGUGACUGGCAGGCUUUGAGUGUGGCAGAGGGGGGUAGAAUUCCACGUGUAGCAGUGAAAUGCGUAGAGAUGUGGAGGAAUACCGAUGGCGAAGGCAGCCCCCUGGGCCAACACUGACGCUCAUGCACGAAAGCGUGGGGAGCAAACAGG
rnacentral:rRNA from 1 species